rnacentral:rRNA from 1 species
AUUGAACGCUGGCGGCAUGCUUUACACAUGCAAGUCGAACGGCAGCACGGGAGCGAUCCUGGUGGCGAGUGGCGAACGGGUGAGUAAUGUAUCGGAACAUGCCCAGUCGUGGGGGAUAACGCAGCGAAAGUUGUGCUAAUACCGCAUACGAUCUAUGGAUGAAAGCGGGGGAUCGCACGACCUCGCGCGAUUGGAGUGGCAGAUAUACGAUUAGGUAGUUGGUGGGGUAAAGGCCCACCAAGCCGACGAUCUGUAGCUGGUCUGAGAGGACGGCCAGCCACUCUGGGACUGAGACACGGCCCAGGCUCCUACGGGAGGCAGCAGUGGGGAAUUUUGGACAAUGGGCGCAAGCCUGAUCCAGCAAUGCCGCGUGCAGGAUGAAGGCCUUCGGGUUGUAAACUGCUUUUGUAUGGAACGAAAAGACUCUCUCUAAUAAAGGGGGUUGAUGACGGUACCAUGAGAAUAAGCACCGGCUAACUACGUGCCAGCAGCCGCCGUAA